rnacentral:antisense_RNA from 1 species
GAAAAUAUGGUAAGCUAUGUUAACAAGCCAUAUUAGAUAUCAAGCAUUAAUAUGGAAAUAAACCAGGUAACUCCUGUGUAACUGAUCUUUGUGGGGACUUGGAGGAGGGGAGGUGAACCUAAACUAGGUUUAGCAUGUGCUAAACUUAAUUAAUGGUUAACUAAAUUCAUUCAAAGAUAUCUGUAACUUGUGGUCUGAUAGUGCUGGUUUUUGGAUAUGAAUUUGUCAUUAAGAACAAAUCCUGCCCUGAUUCUGGGGACCAUGCCUGUGGAGAUGCACAGUUCUACCAUUCAAAGUGACUAUCGGAAAACACCUCCU